rnacentral:rRNA from 1 species
AACGUGCCCUUCUCUACGGAAUAGCCUCUGGAAACGGAGAGUAAUACCGUAUACGCCCUUUGGGGGAAAGAUUUAUCGGAGAAGGAUCGGCCCGCGUUAGAUUAGGUAGUUGGUGGGGUAAUGGCCUACCAAGCCUACGAUCUAUAGCUGGUUUUAGAGGAUGAUCAGCAACACUGGGACUGAGACACGGCCCAGACUCCUACGGGAGGCAGCAGUGGGGAAUCUUAGACAAUGGGGGCAACCCUGAUCUAGCCAUGCCGCGUGAGUGAUGAAGGCCUUAGGGUCGUAAAGCUCUUUCGCCUGUGAUGAUAAUGACAGUAGCAGGUAAAGAAACCCCGGCUAACUCCGUGCCAGCAGCCGCGGUAAUACGGAGGGGGUUAGCGU